UGGCAGUUCUCUGCUGGUGGCCAAGGGAGAAGGAGUCCUCCUAGAACAAGUGAAGGGAAGAAGCCUGACUAAGUUCUGCUCCGGGGAGACAGUACCAUAAGGCUGGAGCUUUGGAACAGGGCAUGCUUAAACAACUGGACUGUCUACUAGAAGUCAUCACUGCUUAUGGGUACCUUGGGCAUCUGGACCAUGAAGAUCCAUUUCCAUCAAAGGACAACUGACAGCUUGAGUUUAGGAAGUAUGCCCAAGAGAUCAAGGGUUCCGUACACACUUUCCUUGAUGGAAGAAUGUUCACCACAAUGCAGGACAGAAGAAGACGUUUACUGACAUGAAAAAUACUUGACAGAAAAAUCGGGGCUCCACCAUCCCCUGCACCCCAGCCUCAUGCCACCUGACACCCAGGAUUCCUUUCAGGGUGUUAAUGAAAAAUAAAACAGUCAUAAAAAAGAACUAAGCAAACAAAAUAAAGUCCAGUCCAGACCAAAAUAUAAACACACAAAAUAAAGUCCUGCUUUAACCGCUGCCCGUGGCUCUUCUUCGGUUUAAACAAUGUAGCCCAGGUACACCCAAGGAUGUGCCCUGAUCCCAAUCACAACAGAGUGGUGGAGAUGAGGAUGCUGUGGGAUGGAUCAUCAUCACUGAUGCACGGCUCCUUCCUUCCUCCAUAGAGUUAGGCUCUAGACAGGCUCUUCACUAUUUACAAAAUUUAUUAACAUAUAAUAUAUAUAAACAUAAAACUAAAUAUCAUAUACAUAUAUUUACACAAUGACCAAUAACCAAGGUCAAACCCUACAUAACACUGUGAGAAAAUCACUCCCAAUCACAAUCUCCAGGGAAAACAAUAUAUACACAAUAAACCCACAGCUUCCCCACCCUACAUUGGGGAACCCAUACUCAAUUAAGGGUUACAUCAAGUAUAACAGAGGAAAUGCAACUUUAUUCCUACAAAGGAACAGUCCCUCUUUCAUCAAUGCAGGAAGAUAAGCAUCAAAUGGACCCCAACCCAGUUAGGGGACCUAACAAUCAAAGAAACCAACAGGGUGCUUUUCAGAAAUUACUGUAUCCUAUGAUAACACUCUUUACCCAUCACAGUAAAGCAAUUUCAGCAGCAUCAACACAAUACAACAGUUCAAUUACAAAAUAUAAGGUGCAGACAUAAAUAAUCUUAAUAACAUCUAUUUCUUAAUAUAGUCCCUGACCCAUGGCAGGAGAUAGUCUUUCUUUCAAUGGGGUCCCAUGAGAGUGGGGAAGGACUGCUCAACCAGCCCCUUCUCUGGGGUUUGUCUGUCCAAAAUGUUUUCCCCUGUGGAACCCACUGACUCACAUUUCCUCAAGUGGUGGUGGUCAGGAAGCAGCUUGAUGGGGUCUCCUCUGCAUCGCCGCUGGAGUGCCUCUUCAGUCCUCUCCCAUGCCGCUGGACUCCUACCCAUCCUGUGUCCCACUCUGGGCACCAAGGGCUUGGCUCCUCUCAACUGCUGUACCACCGCUGAUGGUUCCUGGGUGCUGGGCCUCAUGCCCAGCACUACUAUUUUCCAGUGCCCUGGCUUUGGCACUGAGGGCUCUUUUAGCAAAGACUGGGCCCUUCAGGCUCUGGCCAUCUGCCCUCAUGCCGGGUGACUAACCCAAGCAGCCUCUGCUGCUCCCUGGCUCCACUUCCCCAUGCGCUGCCCUGUGCACCAUGGGACCCAGCUGCUUGCCAGGAGAUGGGGCCUGAGCUGCUUCACCAUGGCUCCCAAGGCCCUUGGCCCAAUACACCACCCUGCACACUGGGUGGCCUGCUGUCCCUCUGUGGUUGUAGGCUCAAGCCACCACUUGCAGCUUCCCAGAGCCUAGGUUCUGCACACUAGGCAUCACGUGCACCGUGAUGCCCAGCCACCCACUGGAGUUCCAGGCUUGAACCGCCACUUGUGGCUCCCAAAGCCUGGGUUCCAUCUGCUGAACUGCACACCAAAAUGGGCCUGAGUGGUCUCACACCAAUCCCAGGGCAGGGUCUCUGUGCACCGUCCCUGUGCGCCAUCAACAGCCUGAGCAGUCUCACACUGCUCCCAAGGCUGUUCCUCCAGUAGCAGCUUCAGGAGCCUUGGGUCUAUUGCCUUCUGGGGGAGAGCUGCCCAGCUUUUCUCACUCCACUAUUCUUAAGCCCCUCACCACCUCUUCCUUCAUGCCAGGCAUGAUGCUCUUUACAUAUUCUUCAGGGCUCUGCCCCUGAAGUCUUCUGGACCUGACAGUGUUGCAGUCUACAAUCAGGUCCAUGGAGCUCCUCUUCCCCUCCCCUCCCCUUAGGAAAGGGGCAUGGGUUCACGCCUCUUGCUGUCUCCUGAUGGGUGAAUAGGCUCCACCAAUCAAACAGCAGACUCUCAAGCCUGGGACUCAACCCAAGCUCGGGAAGGUAAGCCUGCUACACCAAUAUUGCUAUUUUUACCCCUGAGUCCCAGUUAUUACCACUGGGCUGCCACUCUUUCUGGUGUGUCUCUUACUCAACUGUGGGGUUCUUCUCAGUUGCUAGCCACAGGCUCAUCCUUCUUUCAUCCCCCUGCUCCCUGGGACUCUUCCACAGCCUGUUUCCCAGUUGUUCUCCGCAUUUUUCCCUUCCAGGGUGUGUCCGUUCCCUCCUCUCUCUCCUAGGCUCUAAUGUCUGUCUCCCCGCCUCUGCUGGCCACUCCCCCUGGAUGUUUUGCCCCUUGCUGCUCCUCCCAGUGCCCCUCACUAGCUCAAGGCUGCUAGAUUUGCUCCCCAGCAUGGGGCUUCUCCCUGUCUCUUCUGGCCACACCCUCUGGGUGUUUCCCCCUUUGCUGUUCCUCCUGGUAUCUCUCCCCAGCUCGGGGCUUCUCCCCAUGUUGCUCCUUGGCUUGGGGCUGCUUCAUCCAAAGCUGGCAUUCACUCUGGGACUGCCCCCUUCUUUCUUUUGUCUCCUGGCAUUUCUUGGCAAGCCCUGUGGGAAAAACAGUCUCCUGCCAUGGCUCACUUUCACAGAUGAGUAGGUUGAACCAAUAAGCAGUGAACAAGCAUUCACUUUUGAUUCCGGAAAUGCAGCCACAUGCCUGCACUGGCUCAGGCCAGAAGCUGGGAGUACUAGAGCAUGCCUCCCUGCUCUGCUGCAGCAGACAGCUUGGGACAAGGUUAACCCACCCACUGUGUGACGCAGGGGGGUGGGGUUUGCAGGAGAGGUGCAAAGUAUCCUGGGAUGCUGGGAACUGUGAAUUAACUUGAAUCUGGAGGGGAUCUGGGACAGAAGUUCAAUAAACCAAUUUAACCUAAAUCAGUGAAGUUUGAUACUACAUCCAUCCAUAUACUCAGUUUUGAUCAUUUUGAAAGCAGUUUAUGUGUACUGAACUUCUGUUGUGUUACAGAUUUGAACCAGCUUUUGAUCACUUAUACUAGUUUAUGUGUAAUUUCUGUCCCUAACCUGUGUAUCUGCAUGCUACCACACAUGUCUGGGGAGGAACUGUGCAACUCUGAAGUCCUAACUUGUUAAAUUAUCCAAUCAAAACUGAUUUUAAAAUUGGCAGCAAAAGACACUUCAGAAUAAUGUAAGUCUUAUUUAUUAUACUUUUUGUAUGAUAUAUAUUGUGAGUUGAGCUGCCUUUUUGAUGGCACUCAGUGUGGGGAAACAGGGAGCUUGUCAUAAAUUUCCUUAUGUGUCAGGUCAUGUUUUUGCCCUUUGGAAAGCAUUAUUCCACCUUUUGUGUAGUUCUAAUUCAGUUUUUUAUCCUUGACCAUAAAAUGUCCACGGAUGAGAGAGAGUAUAUAUAUAUCUGCCAAAUAGAUCUCUAACAAUGGCACAAAAUUCAGGGAGAUAAUUGUCUUCCUUCUUGGCUUGAAAGGUUCAGAAGUAUUUUGACACUGACACAAUAGAGUAAGACUGUUAAAUAGA